rnacentral:lncRNA from 1 species
GGAAAUCUGAUGGGAACGAUCAAGAGAACGCCAAAGAGGAAGAAGACCCAGAAGGAUCAUAGAAAGAAUGGAAGAAAAGAGCUCUAGAGUAGAAGAAAUAUCUAAAUUGCUAGAUGCCCUAUCUGGGCAUUUGGCGAUCUAAACCUUCUUCCAAAAUGCCCAUAGAAGAAUCAAACCGAGGAGUGAUGACAAACGGCCACGCAGCUAAAAUUUCUCCACUCUUUGCAGAGGUCAGAGCUGCCAGCCACACGAGGAAGAGAACAAAAAAAUAGAACUAGAUGGAAGAAGAGAGAAGAGCUCUAAUAAUUAGGGGUUAUAGCAGUGAUGGUAGAUUUUGAAUGGCGAAGAAUGGCGCCUUCUCGCCCUCCUCCUCGCG